rnacentral:rRNA from 1 species
GAUGAACGCUGGCGGCGUGCCUAAUACAUGCAAGUCGAGCGAACAGACGAGGAGCUUGCUUCUCUGACGUUAGCGGCGGACGGGUGAGUAACACGUGGAUAACCUACCUAUAAGACUGGGAUAACUUCGGGAAACCGGAGCUAAUACCGGAUAAUAUAUUGAACCGCAUGGUUCAAUAGUGAAAGACGGUUUUGCUGUCACUUAUAGAUGGAUCCGCGCUGCAUUAGCUAGUUGGUAAGGUAACGGCUUACCAAGGCAACGAUGCAUAGCCGACCUGAGAGGGUGAUCGGCCACACUGGAACUGAGACACGGUCCAGACUCCUACGGGAGGCAGCAGUAGGGAAUCUUCCGCAAUGGGCGAAAGCCUGACGGAGCAACGCCGCGUGAGUGAUGAAGGUCUUCGGAUCGUAAAACUCUGUUAUUAGGGAAGAACAAAUGUGUAAGUAACUAUGCACGUCUUGACGGUACCUAAUCAGAAAGCCACGGCUAACUACGUG